GAUGAACGCUGGCGGCGUGCCUAAUACAUGCAAGUCGAGCGAACGGACGAGAAGCUUGCUUUUCUGAUGUUAGCGGCGGACGGGUGAGUAACACGUGGAUAACCUACCUAUAGGACUGGGAUAACUUCGGGAAACCGGAGCUAAUACCGGAUAAUAUUUUGAACCGCAUGGUUCAAAAGUGAAAGACGGUCUUGCUGUCACUUAUAGAUGGAUCCGCGCUGCAUUAGCUAGUUGGUAAGGUAACGGCUUACCAAGGCAACGAUGCAUAGCCGACCUGAGAGGGUGAUCGGCCACACUGGAACUGAGACACGGUCCAGACUCCUACGGGAGGCAGCAGUAGGGAAUCUUCCGCAAUGGGCGAAAGCCUGACGGAGCAACGCCGCGUGAGUGAUGAAGGUCCUCGGAUCGUAAAACUCUGUUAUUAGGGAAGAACAUAUGUGUAAGUAACUGUGCACAUCUUGACGGUACCUAAUCAGAAAGCCACGGCUAACUACGUG
rnacentral:rRNA from 1 species